GCUGGGUAUGGUGACCCACGCCUGUAAUCACAGCUGCUUGGGAGGCUUAGGCAGGAGGAUUGUGAGUUUAAAGUCAGCCUCAGCAACUUAGCAAGGCACUAACUUAGCAACUAAAUCAAGAACCUGUCUCUA
rnacentral:sRNA from 1 species